UAUUGUGGGUAAUGGGGGUGUGCGUAAACGCGCUUGUUCUCUGGACGCCAUCUUUACUAUUGGCAGGAAGGCCCGUUGCCAGGGUUACCUGAGGCCCUGAUUUAAUGAGUGGGAUGGGUACCAGAGCUCCAAUAGCAGUCCAACUACGAGAAUAAUUUGUAGAUGGUAGGUGCCCAAUACAAUACACUACUUAUUAAACAAUGAAAAGCAGCGUAUUUCAUGGAGGAAGACAUCUUUGAAUAUGGACUUCACCAUGGCCUGGUUAGCUAAGAGUGUGACUGGAGCUUCCCGUGCAACGGCCCUGCAGAAAACCAACCUCACCGCCCAGGAACUUCAGGAAGCAGGUCGCCAACAUCAAAACCUCCAAAAAGCAUCAAAAGAGACAGUUGAAGCAGUCUCAGAGGAGCCUGGCCUGGGGCUCUUCCUGCGGGCUGGUCUACCCCUUCCUUAUGGAAGGAGGGGCAAUCAGCUUUGUGGACAAGAUAUACUGCGAUGGGUAUUUUAAGUAAUACAAGCUGGUAAAGAUCAAGCUUCACUAGAAUAUUUUUGCUAAGGGUCCACAAGCACUGGGGCUUACUUCUAGGGACCCAACCAGGAACUACAGAAGCUAAGAAGACCCAAACCAGGCUCGAGCAAAGGGCAGGAGAAAAUUUGGCAGUCUGGUGGGCUGGGUGAGUUACUCAGCCAGAGGGAAUUGCAUCUGCAGAGGGAGCGUGGCGGCCAGUCAUGCCUGGGGUACCCCUGCAGGGCGGGCAGGGUGGGGAGGGCUGUGUUACCUUUGGUGGUCUCGCUGUCCCGGAUCAUGAAGGAGCCCAGCAUGUUGCCCGGGGCCAGAAGCUGGCGCUCCGCAUCCUUCCGGCUGAUGCCCUUGAAGAACCACCUGGUGGAAAGGGGUGGGAGCCUUGUGUGAACCUCGGAGUAGGCCAGUCCUGUCCCACCUCCACGGGGCGCCAGGAGACGGAGUGCCUGGCUUCCUGCAGCGUUCAUUUUCCUACAAGAUUCUUUUGGGAAAAAUCACCAUUCCCAAAUGGUGAUUUGAAACCAAAACAGAGACAUUUUUACUAGGAGUGAAUCCAGUUUGCUGAGAUAGAAACGUAUGCAAUUUGGGGAGAUUUCUUUAAGAAAAAUGAUACCAAAAGAAAGAGCCCCCCUCCCCAAAAGACUAUUAAAAAAAAAAACAAAAAAAGAAAAAGAAAACUGUUUUUAAAGAAAAAGAAUACAGCAUUACAAAUACAAAAUGCCCAUGGGCCAUUCCAAUGC